rnacentral:rRNA from 1 species
UUGACCUCUGACCUCAAAUCAGGUAGGAUUACCCGCUGAACUUAAGCAUAUCAAUAAAANNCNGGAGAG